GGGGAAUCGUGGAGUGAGUAUACUGCUCGUUCCCAGAGUGAGCGAGAACUCUGGAUUUCCAGGUUACCUGUAUAACACAUUUAAGAAGCAGCUAUUAUUAAUGUGAUACACCGCUGAAUCCAUACUGAUUCAGUAUCACUGCCUUCUAGAUAAUCGUGGGACUGAAGGGAUGGACAUCGCUGGAACUUCAAGCGUUACGUCCAGAAGAUGCGGACGUCAUCCACCCCCCUCAUAUGAGCGGUUACCCUGAUCCCAAUUCAGGCUGCCUGCGGCGCCCCCUGGAGGAAAGUGAAGGUUCUGCCACAGUGCUUGUCCACAGGCUCUCCACAGCAGAGUUUGGUACACUGCAAACAGUUCUGCACACACCAAGGAGUGACUCAGGUCCAACCACUUCACUGAGCGGGAGCGGUGGAACGGCUCCUUCUCCUCCAGCGCUGUCGGACACACGGCUCCAGAUCUAGACACAAGAUAUUGAAAUUAAAUGUUUUUUUAUUGUUCCACUUACCUAAAUCUAACCCUCAGACAAACUGAACUGGAUUAUUUAUUCAAACGACUGGUGGAUAAUGAACACAUCAGUUAGUCUUUUAGUUAAUUUAGCUUCAAGCAUAUUUUGUUCACUUUUAAAUAAGCCUGUAAUAAAAGCUCCAAGUAUUACGCCAAAUGUUGUGGCACAUCUGUACGCUGUAUGAGCGAAGGAUGACCGUUGGCAUAGGGACAAUUUUGAAUGUACUCAAAAUCUUAUUUUGUGAGUUGGAUACCUUGCAAAUAAGUACAACAUAUAACAAAUUGACUACACAACUUGAAAUAUGGAGACAGCCCAGAAGGAUGAAGGAGGAAGCCACACCAGAUGCUGCUUAGUUUGAAAACAUUCAAUAAAUUGCGAACGAUUAGCUGAUCGAC